rnacentral:rRNA from 1 species
AAACUAACAAGGAUUCCCCUAGUAACGGCGAGUGAAGCGGGAUGAGCUCAAAUUUAAAAUCUGGCGGCCUCAGGUCGUCCGAGUUGUAGUCUAGAGAAUCGUUUUCCGCGUUGGCCUGUGUACAAGUCCCUUGGAACAGGGCGUCAUAGAGGGUGAGAAUCCCGUCCUUGACACAGAUUACCAAUGCUUUGUGAUGCGAUCUCGAAGAGUCGAGUUGUUUGGGAAUGCAGCUCAAAAUGGGUGGUAAAUUCCAUCUAAAGCUAAAUAUUGGCGAGAGACCGAUAGCGAACAAGUACCGUGAGGGAAAGAUGAAAAGCACUUUGGAAAGAGAGUUAAACAGUACGUGAAAUUGUUAAAAGGGAAACGAUUGAAGUCAGUCAUGCUUUCCGAGACUCAGCCGAUUCUGUCGGUGUACUUCUCGGUUGGCAGGCCAGCAUCAGUUUCGAUCUGUGGAAAAGGUUGGAGGGAACGUGGCAUCUCCGGAUGUGUUAUAGCCCUUCUUCGAAUACAUAGAGCGGGACUGAGGAACGCAGCGCGCCUUUUAUUAGGUUGGCCCUCGGGUACAUACGCGCUUAGGAUGCUGGCAUAAUGGCUUUAAACGAC